ACUUUCAAAUAUUGACCCGACGAAAAUAUGUCAACUUUAUUUGACGCGACGCCUUUCAAGGGUACGUCAAUAAACACAGCCGAUUCUGUCUCUUCCCAAGUAAAAUCCUUGACAAGAAUAGGCAUGGUGAAAGAAUAAUUACACUAUUACUCUGUCUCUUAAUAUUGGCCAGAAACGAUGCUUGAAAUAGAACGAUAUUCCAUUAUUAAGAAGGGAAUGUGAAAAUUUGCAAGAAUUGUCCGCCAUCUUGG